AUGAAUCUUAUUAUACUAAUCAUGCUUGCUAACAUAUUCUAUUCCUCCCAUCAUUCUCUCAGAGGAGCAGUCUCGUGUUUGAGCGAAUGUCGCAAUCGUGAGUUUCUUCAUUCACUUUCCUAUAGACUGCUAAAAUAUUUAUGUUUUUUCUUUUUUAAGAAAAAUCUUAGAGGUACAAGAGCAUAG